UAGUACUUUUUACACCUCUGGUGGUAAGCAGAUAAACAUCAAAUUUUCAUUUUUGGGUGAACUAUCACUUUAAGAAAGCUGACUCCACUGUGAGAGACACUACUGUCUCUCUCUCACACACUGCAGAACUUUGCCUUUUGUUUUCCCUGUUCCCUGGAUUCACCUUUGUUGCCUUAUUUUAUUUUUCUGCAUUUUGAUAAUCGUUUCUGAAACAGUGACUGUUGCACAUUAAAACACCCUAUAAACCAGUCAGCACAUUAGAGAAAGAGAAAGAGAAAGUAAAUCAGCACUCGGAUUUAGUCAAUCGAGCAGCAUCACAAGAGUGGAGAAGCUUACUAACAGAAAAGAAACAAGUACACAAAAAGAUACUCCUGAGAAUAAUCUCAAGACUGAAAUGGAAGCCGUUAUACCUGGAAGCUCGAGGGGUUGCGAAGUCAAUUUUGCGACUGUAAUAGUCAGCAGUCUGCUGAUCUCUUUAGAAGCCCCAGUGAUGUUCUUCGUGGACAAAGUUCGUGAAUAUCUGUGGAAGUCGAAGCCAUGACAAGAAGAACUGGAAUCAGCAGCAUGGAUACAGAAGCAACCGAGUUCAGAUAAAGUGAUCGAUAAACAUAGAUGAAAUGAGAGGUUUGCAAGUGAUAUGAGAGAUAAAGUAUUAUACCAAUUGAAAUGCUUAUCUGUCAUUGCAUCCAAACAUUUAUAUUUCUACAAUAAUUAAACAACAAAGAUGUUUGUGCUUGUAACGUUCAGUUUCUCUUU